GGGGUAGCUGAUGUUGCAGUUUGAGGGCCGUGCAGCUGGAGACCCGGGUGGGAACUGAUGUUCCAGUUUGGGAGCCAUGCAGCUGGAGGCACUGCGGGAAGGAGAUGUUCCAGUUUGAUGUUCCUCCCUGGGUCUCCAGGUGCACGGCCAUCAAACUGGAACAUCAGCUCCCCGGCCCUCAAACCGGAACAUCAGCUCCCCGCCGGAUCUCCAGCUGCACAGCCAUCAACAUCAGCUCCUCCCCGAGUCCUCAGCUGCACGACCCUCAAGUUAGAACAUCAGCUUCUCCCCAAGUUUUCAGCUGCGUCACCCUCAAUCUAGAACAUCAGUUCCUCUCCAGGUCUGCAGCUGCAAGACCCUCAAUCUAGAACGUCAGCUCCUCCCUGAGUCUCCAGCUGAAAGACCCUCAAAACGAACAACAUCAGCUCCUCCCCGAGUCUUCAGCUGCACGACGCUCAAUCUAGAACAUCAGCUCCUGUCUGGUUCUCCAGCUGCACGACCCUCAAACUACAACCUCAGCUCUUCCCCGAGUCUUCUGCUGCAUGACCCUCAAUCUAGAACAUAAGCUCCUCUCUGGGUGUCCACCUGUAGGGACCUCAAAUUAGAAUGUCAGCUCCUCCCAGAGUCUUCAGCUGCAUGACCCUCAAUCUUUAACAUCAGCUCCUCUCCGGGUCUGCAGCUGCAAGACCCUCAAACUAGAACAUCAGCUCCUCCCCGAGUCUUCACCUGCAUGACCCUCAAACUAGAACAUCAGCUCCCCUCCAGGUGUCCAGCUGCACGACCCUCAAAGUAGAACAUCAGCUCCUCUCCAGGUCUGCAGCUGCAAGAUCCUCAAACUAGAACAUCAGCUCCUCUCCAGGUCUGCAGCUGCAAGACCCUCAAUCUAGAACAUCAGCUCCUCUCCAAGUGUGCAGCUGCACGACCCUCAAUCUAGAACAUCAGCUUCUCUCUGAGUCUUCAGCUGCAUGACCCUUAAUCUAGAACAUCAGCUCCUCUCCGAGUCUUCAGCUGCACGACCCUCAAUCUAGAACAUCAGCUCCUCUCCAGGUCUGCAGCUGCAAGACCCUCAAACUACAACAUCAGCUCCUC
rnacentral:lncRNA from 1 species